rnacentral:rRNA from 1 species
GACGAACGCUGGCGGCGUGCUUAACACAUGCAAGUCGAACGGAAAGGCCUGCUUUCCCUUGUGGAUUGCGGGUACUCGAGUGGCGAACGGGUGAGUAACACGUGAGUGAUCUGCCCCCAACUUGGGUAUAAGCCUGGGAAACUGGGUCUAAUUCCCGAUAGGACUGCAGGGUGGUGCCUGUGGUGGAAAACGAUUUUCUAGUGGUUGGGGAUGAGCUCGCGGCCUAUCAGCUUGUUGGUGGGGUAAUGGCCUACCAAGGCGGCGACGGGUAGCCGGCCUGGGAGGGUUGACGGGCGAAAUGGGACUGGGACAAGGCCCCGACGCCUGCGGGAGGCAGGAGUGGGGAAUAAUGGACAAAGGGCGGGAGGCUGAAGCAGCGACGGCGCGUUGGGGAUGACGGCCUUCGGGUUGUAAACUCCUUUCGACCGCGAGGAAGCCACCUGGUUGGAAGGGUGGUGACGGUAGUGGUAGAAGAAGCACCGGCUAACUACGUG